rnacentral:rRNA from 1 species
AUUGAACGCUGGCGGCAUGCCUAACACAUGCAAGUCGAACGGCAGCACGGGAGCAAUCCUGGUGGCGAGUGGCGAACGGGUGAGUAAUAUAUCGGAACGUGCCCAGUCGUGGGGGAUAACGUAGCGAAAGCUACGCUAAUACCGCAUACGAUCUAUGGAUGAAAGCGGGGGAUCGCAAGACCUCGCGCGAUUGGAGCGGCCGAUAUCAGAUUAGGUAGUUGGUGAGGUAAAGGCUCACCAAGCCGACGAUCUGUAGCUGGUCUGAGAGGACGACCAGCCACACUGGGACUGAGACACGGCCCAGACUCCUACGGGAGGCAGCAGUGGGGAAUUUUGGACAAUGGGCGCAAGCCUGAUCCAGCAAUGCCGCGUGCAGGAUGAAGGCCUUCGGGUUGUAAACUGCUUUGUACGGAACGAAACGGUGAGCUCUAAUACAGUUUGCUAAUGACGGUACCGUAAGAAUAAGCACCGGCUAACUCCGUG